UCGUUAUUUCCUGCAGCAGCUACCUCUCCGCGACUCUCGCCCCUGCCUGCCCGAGACAGCACAGUAGUGGUGUGGUCGCGCUGAACGCACGUUAACGGAAAGAAAAAAACACUCCAUACCCAGUGAAGGCCUCCGCCACACCGAAAACCCUCUUUCAGUCACAGCGACGACGGAUAUAUAAACACACACGUAUUUUUUUCCUAAACUUAGCUGCUGUUUUUUUUUUUAUUUGAUAGCUUUGUUAAAAAAAAAAAAAAAAACACCCACUAAAAAACAAAAAGCAAGUGUUCAUAAUGGCGACAGCUGCGGUGUCUGCCCCUGCUGGCUGCGGCCCCAGCCCCGGGUCGGGAACGGAGUUGGUCCGCGGGCAGGCCUUCGAUGUCGGGCCCCGGUACAGCAACCUCUCCUACAUCGGGGAAGGAGCCUACGGGAUGGUGUGCUCUGCCUAUGACCGGGACAACAAGAUACGUGUGGCCAUUAAGAAGAUCAGCCCUUUUGAGCACCAGACGUACUGCCAACGCACCCUGAGAGAGAUCAAAAUCCUUCUGCGCUUCAAACAUGAGAACAUCAUUGGAAUCAACGACAUCAUCCGCACACCAACCAUUGACCAGAUGAAGGACGUAUAUAUUGUCCAGGAUCUCAUGGAGACAGACCUGUACAAGCUCCUGAAGACUCAACACCUGAGCAACGACCACAUCUGCUACUUCCUUUACCAGAUCCUACGAGGGCUCAAGUACAUCCACUCUGCCAACGUCCUGCACCGCGACCUGAAGCCUUCCAACCUUCUGCUCAACACCACGUGUGAUCUCAAGAUCUGUGAUUUUGGUUUGGCCCGUGUGGCUGAUCCUGACCACGAUCACACUGGUUUCCUAACAGAAUACGUAGCCACUCGUUGGUACCGAGCACCCGAGAUCAUGCUCAACUCCAAGGGCUAUACUAAGUCCAUAGACAUCUGGUCAGUGGGUUGCAUCCUGGCUGAGAUGUUGUCCAACAGGCCAAUCUUUCCUGGGAAGCACUACUUGGAUCAGCUUAACCACAUUUUGGGGAUCCUGGGUUCUCCCUCUCAGGAGGAUCUCAACUGCAUCAUCAACAUUAAGGCUAGGAACUAUCUUUUGUCGCUGCCUUUGCGCUGCAAAGUGCCGUGGAACCGCCUCUUCCCCAACGCUGAUCCGAAAGCUCUGGACCUGUUGGACAAGAUGUUGACCUUUAACCCUCACAAGAGGAUUGAGGUGGAGGAGGCCCUGGCGCACCCCUACCUGGAGCAAUAUUACGACCCCACAGAUGAGCCUGUUGCUGAGGCCCCAUUCAAGUUUGACAUGGAGCUGGAUGACCUACCCAAAGAGACACUGAAGGAGCUCAUCUUUGAAGAAACUGCACGUUUCCAGCCCGGCUUUAGGUCCUAACAUCUCACACAGCUGACUAUUGGAACCCAACCCUAUUGAAAUCACUAUUGGUAUUAUAUCAACCAAUGAUGAUUCUGUGGACUGCCUUCUGCGUUGCCACUGCUCCUCCCCGCCUCCACACUGUUGCUGUGAUGUUUUUUGUUUAGGUUUUUAUUUUCUCCUCCUGUUGUCCACAUCACCUGGAUUCCUUGGGUCUCACUCGUCAAGUCCACUUUGCUCAGGAAUGGCGUCAGGAAUCAAUCAGUCAAUCAAUCAUUCUCUCGCUCUCUCGCUGUCUCUCUCUCUCUUUCUCUCUCUCUCUCUCUCUCUCUUAUAUAUCACAGCUUACAGUUUGGGGGUGAUUUUGUGUUUUUAGCCAAGAUAAACAAUUUUUUUUUGUGUGUCUCAAAGGCGUUUGGCUCUGGCUAUUCCUAUUCAAGACCUGUCCAGUUGAAUGACAGUGAUAGACUAGCUGUUGUGGUUAUAACUCUGCCUACGUUGCACAAACAACAGUAGAUUACUUAUAAGAAUCAUCCAUCAUAAAAAAGGUCUCUUUGAAUUUUCUAACCUUUGUCGCACUGUUACAAGGGAUUCCUUGAUCUCUAUCUUUUUUUUCUCUCUUUAUCUCUUUGAAAAAAGAAAAACCCGAAUUAAAUCAACUGAUUUAUGCAAUGAAAUCACAUAAUCAGCCAGAGACUUUGUGGGCCACAAGCCAUCAUUUGGUGUUGAUGAGGAUCUAUAUUUUAACAGAACUUGUAUUUUAAUCCUUAACACACAUACACACAGAAGGCCCAAAUGCAAAUAUAGACAUAUAAAUAUAUAUAUAGAGCCCAAAGAGUCUUAAGAUAUUUUAAUGGCAAGGGUGAUGAUAGAAGGUGAAUCAAAUUUAAUUUAUCGCCUUUUUCUUUUUAUUAAAAACAAAAAAAUGCCCGUUUUCAUUUCUCAUCGGCUUCAGUAAGAUAUCAGGUUGUGUAUAAAUGCACCAAAUUACAGGUGCAUCGAAGGUUUUCACCAUCAAUUUCUGCCUUAGCCAUGAGAAACUAAAGUAAAAGUCUGUGUAUUUCAAACAAGUCUGUAUGUACAGUAUGAUAUUUUUCAUAUGGGGGAAAUUUUACUGUCAGGACAAGAAUUCAGUUAUCACACAGAACUAGUUUCGUCUGGAGGAAAUGUUGUUGCGCCUCCCUUUUCGUCCUGUUUUGUGUUUUCCUUUUUCUUCUUCGUCAGUCUCUGUUAAUCUCUCUCUCGCCUUGUUAGAAUAAUACUGUGCCCUUUGCAUGACUGUUAUAAGCUCUGUAUACAAAGACGACGAUGUUAAGUGCCACACAAGCCGGGCAGAUCUGCCGGGAGAGCGCCCAGGCUCUUUCUGUUCUACCUAUUGUGGUAUAUCACACUUACCAAUCACAUGGUGCUUUUUGUCCUGUUUCUAUGUUUUGCUUCAGCAUUCUCUUCGUCUGUUUUUAUUUCAUUUCCAUUGUUGUUUAAGUCUACAUAUUUUUAUCUCCUCCGUUUUUAGCCAAACUCCAUCUGCAUGCUAGGACGUCUUGUUGUGGUUGCAAAUAGGAGAAUAACCAUAUAAUCUGUAUGUAUACCAAUCACAAAAACCACAAAACAUGUUGUUUCCUGAACCUGAGAAAUGGGAUCCAGGCAUGAUAGUCGAAAUAAUACUCAAACGUGACAGAUCAUGUUUUACAUUUUAUUCUCUGCUUUAAAUUGCACAUUUUCACGCUGAUAAAAGUUGGCAGUGUCAGUACCAGCAGACAACUGCAGUAGAACAACAACAAACAAAAAAAAAGUACAGAACUGCAGCAGAAGUCAAGACUAUAUUUUUCACUUCUUGUUUGUAACUGCUGAUUAAAGACUGUUGAAUUUGAAGAUUUUAUUUCAAGCGAAAGGGAUUAUGAUUGUAUGUGGAAACUUUGGGGGGAAAAACAAAACAAGCCAGAAGCACUGAGGCUUCAUCAACCAACCGUGUCAUUUAAUGUCAGUAAUGUCAUUUCAGUGUGUUUACAAUUGGGCCUCAAAUGUAUUCAGUUAGGUUACAGUACUUCAGCUUCAAAAGAAAAUGAAUGACCUAAUGAAUGAAACAAAGUAGUUUUAUUUACGACACUAAAGCAUCUCAAAGUAGAUUAGAGUCAAAAUCUACCUGAAUGGAUUCUGCAAGAAUCAUGCUCUGCUAGCACUUAAAGUAAGAAAUUAGAGAUUUAAAUAUAAAAUAAGACAAUUUCAGAACUACGGAGCAGCUUUGGCUGAUUUUUCAUUCUUUCCAAUGACGACAACAAUGUAUAUGGUCUGUGAAGUAUUAAGUAUUUGGCGAGCUGUAAACUCAUGAUUUUUAUGUUUCUGUCAGAAGAUGAGUGAAGCUAAACUCAACUUUUGAUUCUUAUUUACAUUUUCAUAAAUGUCAAAAAGCAAGUCUGAGCUGUAGGGCAGAAUUAAAUCACAGUGGACAGAGCCAAAGAACCACAGUUUAACUUUUGUUUUACUUUUGUUCUGGCUAAAUAAUGUGAGACUGAAACUGAGUGGGGGGGGAGUAGAGGCUAAGAGAGGACGCUAAUGCUCUGCUGAAAUGCAUUAAAGCCAUAAUCGGUCAGUCAGUUAAUCUGUUGCACCUCUGACCACACCCAACAGUGAUGUCACAGCGUACUGACACACCCGGGAGUACACUUCUGCAUCACUGCAGCCAGAUUAGAAGUUAAACCUCUGGAGGUCAGCAAAAACAAGAUCUUCAGAUGUUGUUAAUUUGCUCUUUAAAAUCAAUCUGUAAUUAUCUAAGUAAGCUAGCUAGCCUGCUGAGCUGAGAUGACAAAUGCGUGUUCAUGAUUGAUUGAAAAAAAAUCGGUAAUGCUUUAUUUUACAGGUCUGUAAAUUCUUAAUAUUCCUAGGAGGUUUUCUGGAAAGAACAAUGUAAUUUGGUACUAGCUGUAGUUGAAUUAGAGGCAGUGUUCAAUAAAGCUACAACAAACGAUUAUUUUCAUCAUCGUUUAAUCUCAAUUUAUGUUUAUGAUUAAUCUUUUGGUUAAAAAAAAAAAAAGAAAGUUCCCAGAUCUUUCAGAUAACCUUUUUUAUCCCACCACCAGUCAAAAACUGAGAUAUUAAAACAAACUCAUAUUUUGAGAAGCUGUAAUAAGCAAAUGUUUAGUAUUUUACCUUGAUAUACCUUCAAUUAAUAUUGAUUAAUCAGCUAAUCGUUGCAUCCCUAGUGUUAAAUUGGUCCUCUUCCAAUGAAUUUAUUCCACUUAAUUGCUAAAAUAGAGUAUUUUAGGCAGUUGCACGGCAUAUCAGAUGAACAGGCAAAAAUGUGAAAUUUGUCUCCAUGCAAGCAUAAAAUACAGCAUACAUGAAAAAUAAAUGUUCCAAUAAUAAAUUAAUGAGUUUAAAUGGUGCAGUACUUACAAGGAAAUUCCUCUGAAAAUCAACAACUGCUUUUAAACCUAACACAUUUAACUUGAAUAACUGUCUUAAACGUUUCCCAUAUAAUUAGUGCAAAAUUACGCAGUUCUUUCCAAAUAAAAACUUUUAAGAAAAUAUUAGGAAAUAACAGACCUGUAAAAAUACAGUGACGCCAGAAAAAAACGUAUAAAUUUAUAUAUACACCCAAAAAACUAGUUUUGUUGGUUCUAUCGACAGAGAUUUAACUCAUGUGAUGACAUUUGAAAAAAGUUUAUGACCAAACCUCCAUUGCAGAAAUGAUUAUUAUUAUUAUUUUUUUUUUUUUUUGCACUCUCAAAUUUCACCUGAACAGACGUUUAACGUGAGGUAAAGACUCGCCUGUCCCAGUCCUUCUCACGCUCGCUGUACACACCCGUCUGUCACACGAUUAUUAAAUGCACUCUCUUCUACAGUGGUUGGGAUGGGACUUGUAAUCCGAGGUGCCUGUCGGGACUUGACUUACCUGUAGAUAGUCUUUUGGGGGGGUUUAGUUAGAAUAUUAUGGGCACUGGAAACCUUACUGGGAUUAGUUGUAUAAAAAAAAAGCUUCUGCUGAGUUCUUUGUGCAACCUGUCUGUUUGUGCCUUUUUUGAUAGUCUUGAUAUCCAAGAUUUGAUGUGCAGCUUUUGUUUAGUCGGGAAUCCGUUGUAAUCGCAGUAUACGCUCUUAAAAAUGAACACAAUCAAGUCUGUGGGUGGGAGGGAUCACGGGUGGGUAUCCUUAUCUUUCAGUUAUGUAAAUUUUAAAGAGAUUUGUUGCCACAGCUGUGUGAUUUGUGACUGUAUUGAAAAGAUGAAAAACAAACAUUUAUAUCUUUUGCGUUACCCUUUUUCCUUGAGCCUUUUUUUUUUAUGUUUUUGUGCAGAUAUUUUUAUUGUAAAAUGAAUGUUAUGUUUCUAUCAGACACUAAUCUUGUUUGAGUUGUCUCCGGUGGAACUACUUCACUCUGUAUGUUUUGAUCAGUAUAAACCUUUAAUUGUGUAGUUCACAUUUCUGAAAGAGGAAAAAAAAAAAAGAUCCUUUGGUUGUAUUUUAAAGGUUCCUGUUUGACCUGUCAUAGAAAUUGUUUGAAUUGAUCGGUCAGUUUUGCUGUCGUGUGAAGGAUUUGACUUGAACGAAGCAUUUCUUUGCUAUUAUUAAAGACUGACUGCCACUUUGAAAAAUCUGUUUUUUAAUGUUUUUUUUUUUUUGUUUUUCUUUUUUGCAACUCUGCCAUGACAUUUAAAUAGACGUUCAUUAAAAACACUGUACCUUCA